GAGGUGCUGUCAUCGAUUAUAAGGCACUUUCUCCUAUGCAUCCCUAUCAGACUCCACCAGUACGAAAUUUUGUGGGACACACUGCCUCUUGGCUACCACAGGCCCCUUUCCCUGGUUCCUGGGUUGCUUCUCCACAAACUUCUGCCUUUCCUGCAUUGCCUGUUACAGAGCCUGUGAAAUUAACCCCCGUAAAGGAGUCAUCCUUGUCCAUUUCUGCUGGUGCAAAGCAUGCAAUGCCUGUUUCAGUGGCUCAUGCUGGGGAAAGUGGUAUUCUGGCUGGGGCUUCUCCGCGUGAUGAAAAAAAUGCCUCAGUGUUGCCUGCUGAUCAGAAAUCUAGAAAGAGAAAAAAGGCAUCUGGUACUGAGGAUCGUGCCCACAAAUCUUUGCGUGGUUCCUCUUCUGAAUCUGUUCCUGCCCCUGCAGUAUGUACUCAAUUAUCAAGUAAAGCCCCGGCAUCUGAUAAUUUUGGCCAGUCAUCAUCGGUUGCUGUUGCACCAUUGGUUGCUCAAAGCCAGACAGGACCUGCAUCUGCUCCCAUACUUGGCCAUUUUUCAACGUCAGUUGUCAUAGCACCUCUUUCUAGCUCUGCCCCUGUAAACAAUUCUGAUAUACC
rnacentral:lncRNA from 1 species